rnacentral:tRNA from 1 species
AAUUUAAAAUGACAUAUAUUAUCAUAUUUUUGACUCCACAAAUCAAUAUUUUUAUUAAAUUAUUUAAAU